rnacentral:lncRNA from 1 species
CAUCCCAAGUCAUUUGGGUAAAACCUAGACUGGGAACCUAAGAGCUCUGAAAGGUGAUAAGACAAAAUAUCUGGACAAGGACAGAGAGACUCAUAGACUGAGGUAAACAUGAGAAAUUAAAAUAAGAGACUGUCAUUUACAAUGAGUCUGCAGACUAAAAUCUCAAACGCUUGUGGAAAAUCAGUAGAGACCAAAAUCAAUUUGGAAAAGGAAUUUAUUCAAGGUGAAAUGAAAAAUAGAAAUGCCUGAAAAUGACUUAAAGUCAGUAUAGUUAGAAUCGUUUACAAGGUAAGUUAUUC